rnacentral:Y_RNA from 1 species
UGCUAGUCCGAUGGUAGGUGGGUCCCAGAAACUAAUAACCUUAGUGUCACUAAACGUUGGUAUACAACCGCCCACUGCUAAUUUGACUGGCUUUAA